rnacentral:rRNA from 1 species
CUCAAAGAUUAAGCCAUGCAAGUGGUUAUUAUAACCCGACAGUUUAAAUAAGUGUUGAAUUGAUAUUUCAUACACAAUACAGUGAUUUAUACGCAAUCACUUAUGCAACUGCAGACAGCUGCUUAAUACAGUCACACUUGUCUUGACUUGGCAAUACCAACCUACACAUACACACACACACACAAUUUCUCUGUUAUCUCAUAUUUGAUAACUCGCUUAUGGAUAACUCAGGGAAAGUUUGGCUAAUACGUACGAGAGAGUAGAUCACAAUGACACACACAUACACACUCACACUUUUACUCAGCACUCAAUGGUAAAAUAUUUAUACAUUUUACACGCAACAUGAGAGACAUUGAGCACGCUUUUAUGUGCAAUAUGUGAUUUCGGUCACAUAACGCAUAUAAUACACAGCUGAGCAGACUUUGCACUUACGCGAAGCAUGUCAUACAAGCAUCUACAGCAUCAAGUCACAGGGUUGGCAAGUGUAUUUUUGAACCUUCAAAGCAGUCACGCAUACGGAAGAGUAGUUUCUGAUCCCAUAGAAGGAGCACAGUACAUUGAGAGACCGCUCUUAGUUCUAAGGAACGCAGCAGGCGCGUAAAUUGCCCAAUGCUAGUACCCUAUUUUAUAGCGAAAAUAUUGGCGCAUAUUUACUUACACAUGAUACAAUGAUACACUGAUAAUAAACUGUCACAUACACACACACACACACAUAUCCUUGUUCACACUCGCGUAAAUAUGCAUUCAAUGUAUAUAUAUUACUGAGGCAGUGACAAGCUGUAACGGUUGAGUAUAAUUAAUGACAAGUGUCUGGCAUUGCCGCUCUCUCGAGAGCUUGGCAAAUUGCCGACGCUUUGUGUGCUCAAUUGGAAUGCGGUGAGUUUAAGCAACUCAGAACCUUUGAAUUUUGUGCUUCACAUAUCAUGUGUUGCACUAUUCACGUAUCUGAAUUUCAAGUGGAGGGCAAGUCUGGUGCCAGCAGCCGCGGUAAUACCAGCUCCACUGGCCUAUACAAUCAUUGUGCGGUUAAGAGGCUCGUAGUUGGAUUGAACUAAAUAUACACACACAUAUAUUUAGCAAGCGUAUAUUCUAUAUGCGUUUCGACUAAUAUUUUAUAAUCUGCAAUGGAACUCACACAUACACACUGAAUGCUGUGGUUGCAUGUAAUUAUAAUAUAUAUGUGUAUUUUUGUCUCACAACACUGUGAACAAAUCAGAGUGUAUCAAACAUGUACUUUCUUAGAAUGUGCACUGAAUGUCUUAUCAUGGGAUGUUGCCUCAUAUUCUAACCACAGAGAGUUUACAUAUGAUAUACACACUCACACAUACACACAAUUAUAUUAUAUAAUUAUUGACACACACCACACAUUAUUCUCUCUGCGGUUAUUCAAAUGUCGAUGGGGAUAGUUGGAGUCAACAGUACUGCUGGGCGAGCGGUGAAAUGCAUUGACCCUAGCAAGACUACCAAAAGCGAAAGCAGUUGGCUAGGCUAUUCUCUUUGUGAUUAUCUCAUAACAUACACAUGUGUGUGCACACAUACACACUCACUCACACACUGUGUAUAUAUGUGAGAUUCUAACACAUUACAAUGAAGAACGAAGGUUGGGGGAUCAAAGAGGAUCAGAUACCCUCGUCGUCCCAUUUUUUACAUCAAACGAUGGGCUCUCAAUUGCAUUUCACUUUUUAUCAAAGUGUCUUGUAGUUUACAUCCUCAACCUACAAACUAUUCUAAUAGUUUGAGCUUGUGUCAUUCUAUGAUACGCUCGCUGUCUGAAUUUAUUUAUGUACGGUCUCGACGGACGUUUACAGGUCAUUUUUAUAAUACCUAUUUUUGCGUGUAAGCAUAGCUGAAUUCUAAAUUCACAUGCGUGCACUUGAUUUUCGGAGCUUUGCGCUCAAUAUUUAUCUGGUGAGAUGUAAGCAUCAUGUAUCUAUAUAUAACCACACUCACGGCUUCGGCUGCGCAGUGUGUGUAUUAAUAUUCAUACAACUACAAUUUAUGAUGUGAAGCACGCUUUAGGCACGCGCUUACUGCAGAAAUGUCUGAGACAUUCCCCUCCGGGGGUAGUAUGCACGCAAGUGUGAAACUUGAAGGAAUUGACGGAAGGGCACCACAAGAACGCGUGGAGCAUGUGGCUUAAUUUGACUCAACGCGGGAAAUCUUACCGGGUCCGGACACACUGAGGAUUGACAGACAAAUACACACACUUUUACGGUGUGUGCAUGAAAUAUGCUAGUUCUUUCAUGAUUAUGUGAUAGGUGGUGCAUGGCCGUUCUUAGUUCGUGGAGUGAUCUGUCUGCUUAAUUGCGUUUCACCAAAGGCACAUUACACAUAAUAUUGUUGUGUUGUGUGUAUAAUUUAUAAUUAUACGCAUACUCACAUAUUAUACUGUGCUUUGAAAGCAACGAACGUGACCGCAACCUCUUGUUGCCUGUAUAUAUGUGUAUUUUAUACACACCACAGGCUAUUAUAAACUAGAGGGACCGCUGUUACUUUCUUUUAAACCAGAGGAAGGUUGCGGCAAUAACAGGUCUGUGAUGCCCUUAGAUGUUCCGGGCUGCACACGUGCUACAAUGAUCAUUGCAGUGCGCAUCUCAUUUUGUUAUACACUGCUUGUGCGUAUGUGCAUCACAUAUAUUUAUAUGUGUGUGUGUAUGUAUUGCACGCAGUAAAGCCUACUUCGAAAGUUGUGGGUAAUCAAUUUGAAGUAAUGAUUUCUCCAAAUAUAUACUGCACACUCAUAUACAGUGUCUUAUGUCCAUGAAAAUUUUAUUUUUUUUGUGUGUGCAUUCGAUGCUCGUAUGUGCAAUUGUCAAUUCAUGGUGGGGACAGGCCAUUGUUAAUUGUUGGUCUCGGUCUUAACUAGGAAUGCCUUGUACGGGUCUUUGGUUCAACAAACCACCCGGAAUACGUCCCUGCCCUUUGUACACACCGCCCGUCGCUCUUACCGAUGGACUUCUCUGUGAGUUUGAGGGACUGGAUUUUAUAUCUAUGGAAACUCAAACGAACAGUGUGGUCUAAAGGAAAGAGAAGUCGUAACAAGGCAUCGGUAGGUGAACCUGCCGAUGGAUCAUUA